GACAGAGGGUGCAAACGUUGUUCGGAUUUACUGGGCGUAAAGCGUGUGUAGGCGGCUUCGCAAGUUGGAUGUGAAAUCCCACGGCUCAACCGUGGACGUGCAUCCAAAACUGCGUCGCUAGAGGUCUCGGAGAGGAAGGUGGAAUGACUUGGUGUAGAGGUGAAAUUCGUAGAUAUCAAGCAGAACACCUGACGGCGAAGGCGGCCUUCGUGGACGAUGACUGGACGCUGAGACACGAAAGCGUGGGGAGCAAACAGG
rnacentral:rRNA from 1 species